UUGACUAGCAACCUGUUUUCACUUAAAAGCCUAAUAGAAGGAAAGAAAGGGCAUAAAUUGUUUGUCCUGGAGAGAGAACAACAUGUUGUUCAUAAAUAAGUUUCUCCCUUUAAGAUCCUCUUGUUCCAGCUUAUGCAAUAUAUUUGGAUCGGAGUCCAGCCUUUAAGCACUCACUCUUGGUAUGUUGUUGAUAAAUAAGUUCCUUUCCCUUGCUACUAUGUUUUAGAACUAUAAUAUGCUGUAUUUUGAGCAGGAAAUUGUUAGAUUUAUCUGCAUUUUGGCAAUAACUUCGUGGUCUUGCAUAUUCUGCAUUGUUUAAGGAUGACAACCAAAAUUGUUUCGUAUACUAUGUCGUCCUCAAUGCAAUGGAUUGACAAGGGUAAGGUCGAGCAACUGAUUUGCAUUUACAUAGUACUUGGAUCACCCUUGAGAUUUUCAGAUUACAUUGACAGGUCCGUAGCAGUUUAUUUACAUGGUAUUUAUGAAAUGAUGAAACAACUCAUAGUUUUUAGUUCAGCCAGAAAUCUCCACAGGAAUGUGCAGGAGGGGCAAGGCAACCAGAUGACUGUUUCCCAUAUUGCCAUUUUAUCCCUAUACCAAUUAUACUAUAUUGUUUACAAUAAUGGCCAUUCACAUCUGAUUUGAUGAGCUUUGAGUUCCUUUCUCAUGCAGCCCACAUUCUCUGCAGCAAGGAAGGGAAGCCUGGUCCUUCUCUGGUCUCCUCAAAUGUGAGAUUUGACUUACCUGGGGAAGCAAAUGUCUAAAUAUUUGGUUGCUCCGUUUACAGUGAGCAAACCUACCAGUCAAGAGGACUUAAAGUUAAUCCAAUUUGUCUUUGAUUCUUCACUUAUUGAGAGUGAGACUAUUGUUCAUUGCAAGAAUUAUCAUUUAUCUCGGAGGGAACUAUACUCACCAAGACCAAAGACCUGUCUUGAUGAUAACGUCCUUUCUACGAUAUUUGAUGUCAUGGCUUUAGUUAAGAGGAAGAUGGAAGAUUCUGUAAAUUGGUAUCUGCCAGGUAGGUUCCAAGAUCAUAUCUGUACAGCUGACAUCUUAUUCUGUUCAAUUUUACAAGUCCACUACAUGAAAAAACAGAAUUUCCUUA